rfam:Toxoplasma gondii VEG unlocalized apicoplast scaffold scaffold00517, whole genome shotgun sequence.
GCUGAUGUAGCUCAAUGGUAGAGCCGCUGAUUUGUAAUCAGGAGGUUAUGGGUUCGAAUCCCUUUAUCAGUU